GUCUGGCUCCCCCUCUCUAAUCCUUGCUACCUGGGUGAGAGUGCUUUCUGAAUGCAAUGCACCUAGGCAAGGAUUCCGAGAGGGGGAGCG
rnacentral:pre_miRNA from 1 species